UGAUAAAUGAACUACCAACAACAACCCCAGAGAAAAGUCUUGAAGAAGAACAUUUGGUCAGUGUUGUAGUCCAAGUAAAACCAAGACUUUAUAAAAGCAAGACUUCCUUUAGCUUAACAAUUUAUAUUACAAGAUUUAGGAACUCUAAUGUGCCCUUUGUUCAGAGUGUGAUAGUGAUGAGUAAUAGUGUUGCGUUUGUAGAGAGAUGAAAUGAAAGCAGACUUUAAAAACUAAUUCUCCCAGGUGAAGACCUUUAUAUGUUUGUGUGUAUUGUAUGCUUUGUUUAGACUGCAGUGGAAGCAUGUGAUACAUGACAGAUGGAAACAACAGUAGAUGUACUGAUCCAAUGUGCUGACACUAAAGGCAAAAAGGAUUUUAGGAAUCUUGGUCCAUACUGGCAUGGGAAGAACUCCUCUGAAAAAGUCCUCCAUUAAGACUUCAGAGAACACCGCAAGUCCCCAAAAGCAGUGCCAUAACUUUAAUUCUGCACCCACAACAUUGGCUAAGCAGUGAUGAGAUUGAUUUUGCGUCUCACCUGCUUUGCAAAAGAAGUACAGUGGCAUUGAUGGAUUUCAGUCAUCUCUUUAAUUUAGUGCUUUGGAAAAAGGAGGGAAUGUGGGUAUGCCAACCAGGCAAUUUGUGCAGAUUUUACAUACAGGGCGAAGUCACUGGGUGACAGCAAGCAACCUCUUUGCUGAAAAAAAUGAGGUUUGCCUUUAUGACAGCCUCUUAACAGUGAUGGACAACAACACUGAACAGGCCUUAUCAUGGCUUGUUAAGGCCAAAUGAAGACCAAUUUGUGGUCAAAUUUCUUGCUGUUCAGCAGAAAACCAAUAGCAGCAACUGUGGCUUGCUUGCUAUUCAAUUUGCAUAUACACUGUGCCGCAACAUUAGACCUGAGAACUGUCAGCUCCGUGAGGGUCGAAUGAGGGCAGAACUCAUUAAGAGUUUAAGAACAGGGAAGAUAGAGUUCAAUAUAGAGGCAAAAUUGCAUAAACCAAACUAGACACAAACCACUGUCAGUGUCCAUUGUGUGUGCAGGAUGGCACACAACAAAGAAUUAAAGGUGCAGUGUUCAUUGUGCCAUGGGUAGUAUCAUCCCACCUGUUUAAACAUACCCUCAACUGCCAUUUUUGGAGAAAACGACUGGCAGUGCCAGAAUUGUAACGUAGCAUAACUACUGAAACACCAGAAAUUAUUUGGACUGAAAGAUAUUCAAUGAUAUACACAAAAUGUAAAAAUGUUCCCGCAUUUACCCGAUUAAUAACUUGGACUUCAAUUCCCAUCUACCCCUGUGGCCCGCUAAUUACGCCCACCUGUUUCGCAUGAGCGGGUCGAUUUAGCCUGGGACUCACACGCUCUUUGCAAAAUCUUGUUUGCCUAGUCCUGCAUUUCUGAGCAUUUUUCAUGUCUACUCGUGUUUUGUUUCUUGAUGUGACUUUUGCCUGUUUUUUUGGAUUACUGUUUGUUUGUCGCCUGCCCCGAUGUUGGAUUGUACCUCGUUUAUGAUUGAUAUCUGCCUGCCUUGACCUUGGACUGUCGUUUGUGAUUUAUCGCUACAUUGCCCUACCCAUUAUCUGUGUGUUGUGCAUCUCUUUCAAUAAAGUAUUGCAUAUGGA